rnacentral:rRNA from 1 species
GAUCCUGGCUCAGGACGAACGCUGGCGGCGCGCCUAACACAUGCAAGUCGAACGGGCAAAGAGGAGCUUGCUUCUCUGAGCGAGUGGCGAACGGGUGAGUAACGCGUGAGGAACCUGCCUCAAAGAGGGGGACAACAGUUGGAAACGACUGCUAAUACCGCAUAAGCCCACGGGUCGGCAUCGACCAGAGGGAAAAGGAGCAAUCCGCUUUGAGAUGGCCUCGCGUCCGAUUAGCUAGUUGGUG